rnacentral:rRNA from 1 species
GACGAACGCUGGCGGCGUGCUUAACACAUGCAAGUCGAGCGGAAAGGCCACUUCGGUGGUACUCGAGCGGCGAACGGGUGAGUAACACGUGAGUAAUCUGCCCCUGGCUUUGGGAUAGCCACCGGAAACGGUGAUUAAUACCGGAUAUGACCACGUCUCGCAUGGGGUGUGGUGGAAAGGUUUUCGGCCAGGGAUGUGCUCGCGGCCUAUCAGUUUGAUGGUGAGGUAAUGGCUCACCAUGGCUUCGACGGGUAGGCGGCCUGAGAGGGUGACCGGUCACACUGGGACGGAGACACGGCCCAGACUCCUACGGGAGGCAGCAGUGGGGAAUAUUGGACAAUGGGCGGAAGCCUGAUCCAGCAACGCCGCGUGAGGGAUGACGGCCUUCGGGUUGUAAACCUCUUUCAGUACCGACGAAGCGCAAGUGACGGUAGGUACAGAAGAAGCACCGGCCAACUACGUGCCAGCCGCCGCCGUAACAC